rnacentral:rRNA from 1 species
GCCAACAGCUAUAUCACCCUGCAGCUCUCAGUUGGCAGCCCACUGAACCUAAGCAGGGUUGAGCCUGGUCAGUAUCUGGAUGAGAGCCCUCCUGGGAAGCUAUGGUUGCUGCUGGAA